rnacentral:rRNA from 1 species
AGCUUGCUCUUUUGCUGACUAGUGGCGCACGGGUGCGUAACGCGUAUAUAAUCUACCUUUUACUGGGGGAUAGCCUUUAUAAAUGAAGAUUAAUACCCCAUAGUAAGUUGUUUUGGCAUCGAGAUAACUUUAAAGCUUCGGCGGUAAAAGAUGAAUAUGCGUUCUAUUACCUAGAUGGUGUGGUAACGGCACACCAUGGCGACCAUAUAUAGGGGCCCUGAGAGGGGGAUCCCCCACACUGGUACUGAGACACGGACCAUACUCCUACCGGAGGCAGCAGUGAGGAAUAUUGGACAAUGGGCGAGAGCCUGAUCCAGCCAUGCCGCGUGCAUGAAGACUGCCCUAUGGGUUGUAAACUGCUUUUAUACGGGAAGAACCCCAUCUACGUGUAGAUGGCUGACGGUACCGUAAGAAUAAGGAUCGGCUAACUCCGUGCCAGCAGCCGCGGUAAUACGGAGGAUCCAAGCGUUAUCCGGAAUCAUUGGGUUUAAAGGGUCCGUAGGUGGAUAAUUUAUCAGGGGUGAAAGUCUGCAUCUCAACUGUAGAAUUGCCUUUGAUACUGGUUAUCUUGAAUUAUUGUGAAGUGGUUAGAAUAGUAGUGUAGCGGGGAGAUGCAUAGAUAUCACAUAGAAUACCA